CCCUUAGAUGUUCUGGGCUGCACGCGCGCUACACUGAUGCAGUCAACGAGUUUUUUCCUGGUCCGGAAGGAUUGGGUAAUCUUUUGAAACUGCAUCGUGAUGGGGAUAGAUUAUUGCAAUUAUUAAUCUUCAACGAGGAAUUCCUAGUAAGUGCAAGUCAUCAGCUUGUACUGAUUACGUCCCUGCCCUUUGUACACACCGCCCGUCGCUCCUACCGAUUGAAUGAUCCGGUGAAUUAUUUGGACCGUGCACGAGCCAGUUUGGUGACUGCGUGGAAAAUUUUGUGAACCUUAUCAUUUAGAGGAAGGAGAAGUCGUANCA
rnacentral:rRNA from 1 species